rnacentral:sRNA from 1 species
GAAAAUCUCGAUCGCUCUUAUUGUGGUGGGAACGCGCAUGGGCAGGAUGGUGUAACCAUCCGGCGACAGCCACCCAUGCGCGGUAGACAGGCUCCUCAAAAGGGGCCUUUUUUUAUGCCUUCAA